rnacentral:rRNA from 1 species
UACGUAGGGGGCAAGCGUUGUCCGGAAUCAUUGGGCGUAAAGCGCGUGUAGGCGGCCCGAUAAGUCCGCUGUGAAAGUCCAGGGCUCAACCCUGGAAUGCCGGUGGAAACUGUCGGGCUCGAGUUCGGAAGAGGCGAGUGGAAUUCCUGGUGGUAGCGGUGAAAUGCGUAGAUAUCUGGAGGAACACCGGUGGCGAAGGCGGAUCUCUGGGCCUUACCUGACGCUCAGGCGCGAAAGCUAGGGGAGCGAACGAGG